rnacentral:lncRNA from 1 species
CAGGCACUGUGGGUUGUGGGGAUUUGAGAUUUGGUCCUCAUGUCUAUGCAGCCAGCACUCUUUCACACUGAACUCUUUUCCCCAGACCCCUGCUGGGUCUAGUCUGGAGCUGGGUUCUCAAAGUAAAAGUCCAUAUCACAUAGCUACAUGUAGAGGAACUCAUUUAUGGCCCACUUGGCUGAUGCUGUCAACCAGACUCUUUUCCCAGGUCUCCAACAACUGUGGGAGGUGCCUGGAUAAAUAGGUGUGACUGCUUGUUUUGGCUGUCAUGGAUCCUGUUUUGUUGUGAUAACCAUGGUGGUGGUGGUGAUAGCCAUGCUGCUGCUCCUGCUGGUGGUGGAGGUCAAUUCAUGAAUGAGUGUGAGUGUGCCCUGAGAGAGUUGACAUACAUACCAUGCAGAUUAGGAAAACAUAGAGGAAAGAAUUUAAGAUACCUCUUAAAGAUACAAAAACAAAAAGGAAUGUCAUCAUCUUACCUUCCUUAGAAAAAAUGCAGUGGAGGCUGCCAUGUGUUUGGGGCCACUGUGCUGUCUCUGCAUGAGGUGGAAUCUGACAGUGAAUUCUCCUUCUAUUGAAGUUUUACACCCUUGAAGCUGGCUUGAGACUUAGGCCCAAGUUCAAAGUUCUAGAGUCUUGAGAUAUUUUGCUACAGUAAUUGAAAACGAUACAAUAUACCCUGGGAAAACUGAAUCACUUUCUAAAAUGAGGUAACAGAAAAUCUCUUGGGUGCUGUGAGAAAUGAAGGAAAUCUGUGAUGUCUCACACAGUAAACCUUGAAGAUGAAACAAUAGCCCGGGGCAGUUAAGAGCCAGAAGACUGGAAGAGGGGUGUGGUACUCUCCCAACCCUGACAAGCAAGAUGAGCAGGUCUGGAUUAUUUAUUCUUGUUCAUCAUCAGCUGUCUAGACUUCAGGCCAGUGUGAUGCGUGACAACAGAAACACUCUAUCCCGUGCAGAGGAGGCCUGUUUAAACCAACUCCUGAAGGAUGAUGAGAGUCUCCUCAGGCAUCCUACACCGAGACUGUCACUUUAUGUAGAGGAAUCAGCACAUUCCAGCAAUGAAGAAACAAUGCUGAUGAGGAUGGGCAACUUCUGUGAAGGAAGUGUCCCCAGAGUCUAG